rnacentral:rRNA from 1 species
GUGCCAGCAGCCGCGGUAAUACGAGGGGGGCAAGUGUUGUUCGGAAUCACUGGGCGUAAAGGGAGCGUAGGCGGGCUCUUAAGUUGGAUGUUUAAAACCGGGGCCCAACCCCGGCGUGGCAUCCAAAACUGGGAGUCUUGAAUGGAACAGAGGCUAGUGGAAUUGGAGGUGUAGCGGUGGAAUGCGUAGAGAUCUCCAAGAACACCCGUUGCGAAGGCGGCUAGCUGGGUUCACAUUGACGCUGAGGCUCGAAAGCGUGGGGAGCAAACAGGAUUAGAUACCCUCGUAGUCC